AAGGCUCUGGGAUUUCACAGUUUUCUUUUAUGCCGUCCCUGGCUUGAGGCUGGGGACCUGCCUGUUUCACUUCUGUGGGGAUCUACCGGCCACAAGAGGGUAGUGAGUACUCUGUGCCUGGCAUGUGUUUACAAAGCAUGUAAGAUUCAUCUCAUCAAAAAAGACCUACAGAUGGCAAAUGAACACAUGAGAAGACACUCAACAUCAGAUGUCACGAGGGAAUUGUGUUUUGAAACAAGGAGAUAGGACUACACACCGAUUAGAACAACCGAACUCCAAACCAGUGAUGCCACCAAAGGCUGGUGAGGAUGUGGAGCAACAGGAACUCUCGUUCGUGCUGAUGGGAACGCACAACGGUGCGGCCAUGCUGGAGGACGGUUUGGCAGUGUGCUGCCCAGCUAACCACAGUCUCGCCAGGCGACGGAGUAGCUGCGUUCCUUGGUACUUACCCAGAUGAGCUGAAAACCUAGCUCCAUACAACAUUCUGCACCUAAAUGUUUACCGUGGCUUUAUUCAUCACGGUCAAAACUUGGAAGCAACCAAGAUGUCCUUUAGUAGGUGAUUGGAGAAACUGUAAUAUAGUCGCACAAUGCAGUGUCAUUCAGAGAAAAAACGAAAUGAGGCAAAGCCAUGGAAAGACAUGGAGGAAACUGAAGUGCAUAUUGCUAAGUAAAGAAGUCAGAGAAAGCCA